GAUGAACGCUGGCGGCGUGCCUAAUACAUGCAAGUCGAGCGAACGGACGAGAAGCUUGCUUCUCUGAUGUUAGCGGCGGACGGGUGAGUAACACGUGGAUAACCUACCUAUAAGACUGGGAUAACUUCGGGAAACCGGAGCUAAUACCGGAUGAUAUUUUGAACCGCAUGGUUCAAAAGUGAAAGACGGUCUUGCUGUCACUUAUCGAUGGAUCCGCGCUUCAUUAGCUAGUUGGUAAGGUAACGGCUUACCAAGGCAACGAUGCAUAGCCGACCUGAGAGGGUGAUCGGCCACACUGGAACUGAGACACGGUCCAGAGUCCUAUGGGAGGCAGAAGUAGGGAAUCUUCCGAAAUGGGCGAAAGCCUGACGGAGCAACGCCGCGUGAGUGAUGAAGGUCUUCGGAUCGUAAAACUCUGUUAUUAGGGAAGAACAUAUGUGUAAGUAACUGUGCACAUCUUGACGGAACCUAAUCAGAAAGCCACGGCAAACUACGU
rnacentral:rRNA from 1 species